rnacentral:rRNA from 1 species
GAUGAACGCUGGCGGCGUGCUUAACACAUGCAAGUCGAGCGAUGAAGUUUCCUUCGGGAAAUGGAUUAGCGGCGGACGGGUGAGUAACACGUGGGCAACCUGCCUCAUAGAGUGGAAUAGCCUUCCGAAAGGAAGAUUAAUACCGCAUAACGUUGAAAGAUGGCAUCAUCAUUUAACCAAAGGAGCAAUCCGCUAUGAGAUGGACCCGCGGCGCAUUAGCUAGUUGGUGGGGUAACGGCCUACCAAGGCGACGAUGCGUAGCCGACCUGAGAGGGUGAUCGGCCACAUUGGGACUGAGACACGGCCCAGACUCCUACGGGAGGCAGCAGUGGGGAAUAUUGCACAAUGGGGGAAACCCUGAUGCAGCAACGCCGCGUGAGUGAUGAAGGUUUUCGGAUCGUAAAGCUCUG